CGUCACGAGAGGUUCGAUCCUGGCUCAGAACGAACGCUGGCGGCAGGCCUAACACAUGCAAGUCGAGCGCGCCCUUCGGGGUGAGCGGCGGACGGGUUAGUAACGCGUGGGAACGUACCCUUUGGUAGGGAAUAGCCACUGGAAACGGUGAGUAAUACCCUAUGAGCCCUUCGGGGGAAAGAUUUAUCGCCAAAGGAUCGGCCCGCGUUAGAUUAGGUAGUUGGUGGGGUAAUGGCCUACCAAGCCUACGAUCUAUAGCUGGUUUUAGAGGAUGAUCAGCAACACUGGGACUGAGACACGGCCCAGACUCCUACGGGAGGCAGCAGUGGGGAAUCUUGGACAAUGGGGGCAACCCUGAUCCAAGCCAUGCCGCGUGAGUGAAGAAGGCCUUAGGGUCGUAAAGCUCUUUCGCCUGUGAAGAUAAUGACGGUAGCAGGUAAAGAAACCCCGGCUAACUCCGUGCCAGCAGCUGC
rnacentral:rRNA from 1 species